rnacentral:misc_RNA from 1 species
GGUGGUCUUUCCGGCAUUAUCGAGGCCAAGAAAGAGGAUCUUGGCCUCCUUCUGCCAGAGACCAAGGGAGGCCAAGACGCCAUAGAACCAGUCGACAAGAAACAUAAUCGAGGAUACCGGUGAAAGAAGGGGUCCGAGAAUCGAUCAGAGUCGGCACCAGCAACAACGAGCUCGCCGAUUGUUUGGGUUUGUCACUCGGAUUGAGAAGAGAAUCCUCAGCAGAAGGGCAGGCUAGAGAAAGAAAAAUUCACAACUACGGAACUUCCAAAACCUGGUUGGAAAUUGG